GCAUAGCUAAGUUGGUUAGAGCAUGGUGCUGAUUACACCAAGGUCGCAGGUUCGAACCCCAUAAGGACCA